UUUUGAGCGUUCGGUGGAUGCCUUGGCAUCAGGGGCCGAUGAAGGACGUGGUGGCCUGCGAUAUUCCUCGGGGAGCCGGCUGGCGGGCUGUGAUCCGAGGGUUUCCGAAUGGGGGGACCCGGCACGAGUUAUGUCGUGUCACCUGCAUCUGAAUUGUAUAGGGUGUGGGGGGUGACGCGGGGAAGUGAAACAUCUCAGUACCCGUAGGAGAAGAUAUUCCGUGAGUAGUGGCGAGCGAAAGCGGAUGAUGGUUAAACCGUGUGCGUGUGAUACUCGGCAGGGGUUGCGUGUGCGGGGUUGUGGGGCUGUCCUGUUUUCUCUUCUGCCGGAGAGGGGGCGCGUGUGCUGAUCUGUAGCUGAAUCGUCUGGGAAGGCGUGGCGUAGUGGGUGAUACCCCCGUAGGCGGAACUGGUUGGUGCGUGUCUGGGACGGUUUGCCCGAGUAGCACGGGGCUCGUGGAAUCCUGUGUGAAUCUGCCAAGACCACUUGGCUGCCUGAAUACCUCCUGAUGACCGAUAGUGGAUAGUACCGUGAGGGAAUGGUGAAAAGUACCCCGGGAGGGGAGUGAAAUAGUACCUGAAACCGGGCGCUUACAAGCCGUCAGAGCCUUCACGCAUCUUGUGUGUGGGGGUGGUGGCGUGCCUUUUGAAGAAUGAGCCUGCGAGUCAGUGGCGUGUCGCGAGGUUAACCCGUGUGGGGUAGCCGUAGCGAGAGCGAGUCCGAAUAGGGCGAUUGUAGUGGCGCGUUCUGGACCCGAAGCGGGGUGAUCUACCCAUGGCCAGGUUGAAGCACGUGUAAGAGCGUGUGGAGGACCGAACCCACCUAGGUUGAAAACUGGGGGGAUGAGCUGUGGGUAGGGGUGAAAGGCCAAUCAAACUCCGUGAUAGCUGGUUCUCCCCGAAAUGCAUUUAGGUGCAGCGUCGCGUGUUGCCCGGCGGAGGUAGAGCUACUGGGUGGCUGAUGGGCCCCACAGGGUUACUGACGUCAACCAAACUCCGAAUGCCGUCGGGUUGUAGCGUGGCAGUGAGACCGCGGGGGAUAAGCUCCGUGGUCGAGAGGGAAACAGCCCAGAUCGCCGGCUAAGGCCCCUAAGCGUGUGCUAAGUGGGAAAGGAUGUGCGGUCGCGCAGACAACCAGGAGGUUGGCUUAGAAGCAGCCAUCCUUGAAAGAGUGCGUAAUAGCUCACUGGUCAAGUGAUUCUGCGCCGAUAAUGUAGCGGGGCUCAAGUACACCGCCGAAGUUGUGGCAAUGACCUUUUUUGGUUGUUGGGUAGGGGAGCGUCGUGUAGCCGGUGAAGCUGCGGUGUAAACCAGUGGUGGAGGCUAUGCGAGUGAGAAUGCAGGCAUGAGUAGCGAAAGAUGAGUGAGAAACUCAUCCGCCGGAUGAUCAAGGGUUCCAGGGUCAAGUUAAUCUGCCCUGGGUUAGUCGGGGCCUAAGGCGAGGCCGACAGGCGUAGUCGAUGGAUAACGGGUUGAUAUUCCCGUACCGGUGAAAAACCGCCCAUACUGAUAUUGUGAUGCUAACCAUGCGAAGCAUGAUGUGCAGGCUUUUGUUUGUGUGUUGUGUGGGUUGUGGGACCCGAUCUUUGGAGGUAAACGUGUUAACAGGUGUGACGCAGGAAGGUAGCCAAGCCACGCGAUGGUUGUCGUGGUCUAAGCGUGUAGGGUUGUCGGUUGUUAAAUGCGCCGGCUGUGUGCCUGAGACGUGAUGGGACCCCGUUUUUGGGGGAUUUGGUGAUCCUAUGCUGCCGAGAAAAGCAUCGGCGUGAGGUUUUAGCCGCCCGUACCCUAAACCGACACAGGUGAUCAGGUAGAGAAUACUAAGGCGAUCGAGAGAAUCAUGGUUAAGGAACUCGGCAAAAUGCCCCCGUAACUUCGGGAGAAGGGGGGCCUGAUCCCUGAAGCCCCUUUUGCGGGCUAGGGGGGAGGGUCGCAGAGGCCAGGGGGAAGCGACUGUUUACUAAAAACACAGGUCCGUGCGAAGCCGUAAGGCGAUGUAUACGGACUGACGCCUGCCCGGUGCUGGAAGGUUAAGAGGAACCAUCAACCCUUUGGGUGAAGUGGUGAAUUUAAGCCCCAGUAAACGGCGGUGGUAACUAUAACCAUCCUAAGGUAGCGAAAUUCCUUGUCGGGUAAGUUCCGACCUGCACGAAUGGCGUAACGACUUCCCCGCUGUCUCAACCAUGAGCUCGGCGAAAUUGCAGUACGAGUAAAGAUGCUCGUUUCGCGCAGAAGGACGGAAAGACCCCGGGACCUUUACUAUAGCUUGGUAUUGGCGCCCGCUAUAGCUUGUGCAGGAUAGGUGGGAGACUGUGAAGCCGUUACGCCAGUGGCGGUGGAGUCGUCCUUGAAAUACCACUCUGGUUAUGGCGUGCGCCUGAACCUGGGCCCGUGAUCCGGGUUAGGGACAGUGCCUGGUGGGUAGUUUAACUGGGGCGGUUGCCUCCUAAAGUGUAACGGAGGCGCUCAAAGGUUCCCUCAGCCUGGUCGGCAACCAGGUGUUGAGUGCAAGUGCACAAGGGAGCUUGACUGUGAGACCGACGGGUCGAGCAGGUACGAAAGUAGGAACUAGUGAUCCGGCGAUCCCGUGUGGGUGGGUCGUCGCUCAACGGAUAAAAGGUACCCCGGGGAUAACAGGCUGAUCCUGCCCAAGAGUCCAUAUCGACGGCAUGGUUUGGCACCUCGAUGUCGGCUCGUCGCAUCCUGGGGCUGGAGCAGGUCCCAAGGGUUGGGCUGUUCGCCCAUUAAAGCGGUACGCGAGCUGGGUUUAGAACGUCGUGAGACAGUUCGGUCCCUAUCCUCUGCGCGCGCAGGAGACUUGAGAAGGCCUGUCCCUAGUACGAGAGGACCGGGACGGACGAACCUCUGGUGUGCCAGUUGUCCCGCCCGGGGCACGGCUGGUUGGCUACGUUCGGGAAGGGUAACCGCUGAAAGCAUCUAAGCGGGAAACCAUCUUCAAGAUAAGGUCUCCACAAGAAGGACUUGUCCUUUUUGGUAGGCCCCCAGCAGACUACUGGGUUGAUAGGCCAGAAGUGGAAGACCGGCAACGGUCUGUGAGCUGACUGGUACUAAUAGGCCAACACAAACAACA
rnacentral:rRNA from 1 species